rfam:Oryza nivara chromosome 3, whole genome shotgun sequence.
AAAAAGACAAACCCUAGAUUUUCGUAUCUAACUUUAACUGUCCGUCUUAUAUGAAAUUUUUUUAUAAUUCGUAUUUUUAUUGUUGUUAGAUGAUAAAACAUGAUUAAUAUUUUAUACGUGACUUGUCUUUUUAAUUUUUUUCAUAAUUUUUUAAAUAAGACGGACGGUUAAACGUUGGACACGGAAACCAGGGUUUGUCUUUUU